AUGGGAAGAAGGAGAAGCCCGGCGCUGCCGCUGCUGGUGAUCUUUGGCGUCCUCGCCGUCGUCCUCGCAGCUCUUCCUCCGCUCGCCGAAUCCAGCAGCAGCCACCACCACCACCACGGCCAUGGCCAUCACUCCCGCGUCCAAAGCAGAGGGCACGGAGGAGAGGAAGAGCAGUCGGCGGCUGCGGCGGCGGCGAAGGCGAGGGGGAGCGCGUGGCCGUGCUGCGACAGCUGCGGCGGGUGCACCAAGUCGGACACGCCGCAGUGCCGGUGCAUGGACGCGGCGCCCGUCGGGUGCCACCCGGCGUGCCGGGACUGCGUCAGGUCCCCCCUCGCCGUGCACCCGGCCGUGUACCAGUGCAUGGACCGCGUCCCCAACUUCUGCCAGCGGCGCUGCAGCGCCAUCGCCGCCCACUGA
rnacentral:rRNA from 1 species